rnacentral:sRNA from 12 species
AGAUCAGCUCGUAGAGCCGCGAGCUGGGUAAAAUAAAAAACGCUCACUGAGA